UGGCGCAUGCGCAGGAGGCGCUGAGCGGCGACCGGUGGGCGCGAUGAAGCAAGUAUUCAGCCUAUCAGAAAAAGCUUGGUCUGGUUCCCCUGUGCAGUUUGCUUGGCAGAAAACUUUGGGAACUUUCCUUGCUUUAACAGGAGGUGAUAAUGCUGUGAAAAUUUUUGAUCGUCAUGGUCAGAAGAGAAAUGAAAUCAGCUUACCAGGUAACUGUGUUGCUAUGGACUGGGACAAAGAUGGAGAUACUUUAGCAAUAAUCGCAGACAAAUCUAGUGCCAUAUUUCUGUGGGAUGCAAACACAAACAAAACAAGCCAAGUAGACAGUGGAAUGAGGGAUGCAAUGUCUUUCUUACUAUGGUCUCGAGUUGGAACUUUACUUGCUGUUGGAACCUCAAAGGGAAACUUACUUAUAUAUAACAGACAAACUUCUCGCAAGAUUCCUGUUCUUGGUAAGCAUACUAAGCGGAUUACUUGUGGUUGCUGGAGUACUGAAAACCUUCUGGCUUUAGGCGGUGAAGACAAAAUAAUUACUAUAAGCAAUCAGGAAGGGGAUACUAUAAGACAGACCUCAGUGAGCUCAGAUCCCAGUGAUAUGCAGUUCUCAGUUAUGAAGACUGAUGAAAGAGUAUCAACCAGGGAAAGCACAGUAAGUGUAGUGGUCGGCAAGAAGACACUCUUUCUUUUUAAUUUGAAUGAUCCUGAUAACCCGAUUGAUCUGACAUUUCAGCAGGCUUAUGGCAGUAUUGUAUCCUACAGAUGGUAUGGUGAUGGCUACAUUAUGAUUGGUUUCUCACGAGGGUGUUUGGUAGUAAUCUCUACACACAUUCGUGAGAUAGGUCAAGAAAUCUUUCAAGCUCAUAAUCAUAAGGAUAAUCUAAGCAGCAUUGCUAUAUCACAGUCAUUAAACAAAGCUGCAUCGUGUGGAGACAAUUGCAUUAAAAUUCAUGACCUGUCAGACCUGAGAGAAAUGUAUGCCAUAAUAAGCUUGGAUGAUGAAAACAAAGGUGUAGACAAGCUGGCUUGGACAGAUGAUGGACAGUUGUUGGCAGUAUCUUCACGAAUAGGAUCCCUCCAUGUUUUCUUGACAAAACUUCCAAUCCUUGGAGAUGCUUGCAAUACACGGAUUGCAUACCUCACUUCCCUUCUUGAAGUUACUAUAGCAAAUCACGUGGAGAGAGAGCUACCAGUCACAGUCUCUGUUGAAGUAGAGCCAAGUUUUGUGGCUAUUGGUGUUUAUCAUUUGGCUGUAGGAAUGAACAAUCGGGCUUGGUUUUAUGCACUUGGAGAGAAUAAUGUAAAAAAGCUUAAAGAUGUGGAGUACUUGGGGACCGUAGCAAGUAUGCACCUUAAUUCCGAUUAUGCGGCUGCUCUCUUUGAGGGUAAAGUCCAGUUGCAUAUGGUAGAAGGUGAAGGUUUGGAUGCUCAAGAAGAACGAGAAACUCGACUCUUCCCAGCAGAUGAUGAUAAAUACCAGAUUUUGUGCCAUGCUUUAACUAGUGACUUCCUCAUAUAUGGUACAGAUACUGGAGUUAUUAAUUAUUUCCACAUCGAAGACUGGCAAUAUGUGAAUGAAUAUCGGCAUUCUGUCAGCGUGAGAAAAGUUUUUCCAGAUCCCAAUGGAACCAGAUUGGCUUUCAUAGAUGACAAAAGUGAUGGCUUUGUCUACUGCCCAGUAAAUGAUAGAUUAUAUGAGAUUCCAGACUUCUCACCAAAUAUUAAAGGAAUCCUGUGGGAACACUGGCCAAUGGAUAAAGGUGUUUUUGUUGCUUUUGAUGAUGAUAAAGCAUACACCUACGUUUUUUAUAAGGAUGCCAUUCAAGGAUCAAAGAUUAUUUUGGCAGGUGGCACAGAAGUCCCCUUUUCCCACAAGCCUUUGUUGCUGUAUAAUGGAGAAUUAACUUGUCAGACUCCGAGUGGGAAAACAAACAAUAUGUAUCUGAGCACUCACAGGUUCCUUGGCAAUUUGAAAGACUUGGGACCUAAUGAGCUGACACAAAUGCUUACUCAGACUUUAACGUUGAAAAGGUUUUCUGAAGCAUGGGAGUUGUGCAGACUUCUGAAUGACCAGUCUGGGUGGAAUGAGCUGGGCAAAGCUUGCUUAUAUCAUAUGGAGGUGGAUUUUGCAAUACGUGUUUAUCGGACAUUUGGUAAUGCUGGGAUGGUGAUGUCACUAGAACAAAUAAAGGGAAUAGAAGAGCACAACCUUUUAGCAGGACAUCUUGCCAUGUUUACUGGCGAUUUUAAUCUGGCUCAGGAUUGGUAUCUGGCAUCCUCCUGUCCUGUUGCUGCACUUGAGAUGCGAAAAGACUUGCAACACUGGGACAGUGCACUUCAGCUGGCUAAGCGUUUGGCUCCAGACCAGAUCCCUUUCCUAUCAAAGGAAUAUGCAAUGCAGCUUGAAUUCACGGGUGAUUAUAGUAAUGCUCUGUUGCACUAUGAGAAGGGAAUCACAGGAAAUAAUAAGUACCAGGAUCAUGAUGAAGCUUGCCUUGCUGGAGUGGCUCAAAUGUCUAUUCGAGUAGGAGAUAUCCGUCGAGGGGUAAACCAGGCCAUUAAACAUCCCAGUAGGUUGCUAAAGAGAGACUGUGGAGCUAUUCUGGAGAAUAUGAAGCAAUUUUCAGAAGCUGCUCAGCUCUAUGAAAAGGGACAGUAUUAUGACAAGGCAGCAUCAGUGUACAUCCGAUGUAAAAACUGGGCAAAGGUUGGUGAACUUCUUCCUCAUGUUUCAUCUCCAAAGAUUCACCUACAAUAUGCAAAGGCCAAGGAAGCAGAUGGCAGGUACAACGAAGCUGUGAUAGCUUAUGAGCAUGCGAAACAAUGGGAUAGUGUAAUUCGACUAUAUUUGGAUCACCUCAAUAAUCCUGAGAAGGCUGUUAAUAUUGUGAGAGAAACACAGUCUCUUGAUGGAGCAAAGAUGGUGGCCAGAUUCUUCCUCCAGCUUGGUGACUAUGGUUCUGCCAUCCAGUUCCUAGUCAUGUCCAAGUGCAAUAAUGAAGCUUUCACAUUAGCUCAACAGCACAAUAAGAUGGAGAUUUAUGCUGAUAUCAUCAGUUCUGAAAGCGCUACCAAUGAAGAUUAUCAGAGCAUUGCACUCUAUUUUGAAGAAGAAAAGAAACAUUUUCAGGCGGGAAAGUUUUUCUUGCUGUGUGGUCAAUAUGGAAGGGCAUUAAAACACUUUAUGAAAAGUCCAGGCACAGAAGAUAACUUGGCUAUAGAAAUGGCAAUUGAAACAGUGGGACGGGCAAAAGAUGAAGCCCUAACAAAUCAGCUGAUAGACUAUCUUAUGGGAGAGAGUGAUGGCAUGCCCAAGGAUGCCAAGUACCUAUUCCAUUUAUACAUGGCACUGAAGCAAUACAAGGAAGCUGCCAGAACUGCUAUAAUAAUUGCCAGGGAGGAGCAGUGUUCAGGAAACUACCGAAAUGCACACGAUGUUCUUUUCAGCAUGUAUUCAGAGUUAAAGACCCAGAAGAUAAAAAUCCCUUCCGAGAUGGCUACAAACCUUAUGAUUCUACACAGCUAUAUGUUAGCAAAGACUCACAUCAAACAUGGUGAUCACAUGAAGGGAGCACGUAUGCUUAUACGUGUAGCCAACAACAUCAGCAAGUUCCCAUCACAUGUAGUGCAAAUUUUGACUUCAGUUGUAAUCGAGUGUCACAGAGCAGGACUGAAGAACUCAGCCUUCAGUUUUGCUGCUAUGUUGAUGAGACCUGAGUAUCGCAAUAAAAUAGACCUUAAAUACAAAAAGAAAAUUGAAGCAGUGGUCAGACAUCCAAGCACAACAGCGAUAGAAGAGCCAACAACAGCCUGUCCCUACUGUGCAUUCCAGCUCCCAGAGUGUGAACUUCUGUGUCCCAGCUGCAAGAACAAUCUCCCAUACUGUAUUGCAACUGGUCGCCACAUGGUCCAAGAUGACUGGACAGUCUGCCCGCACUGUGACUUCCCUGCCCUCUAUUCAGAAUUCAAAAAGUAAGUUGAGAUCUUUUUUCUACUGCAGGAUUUCAAUGCUUGAUCCUAUUUUAGCAGCAAAUUGCUUCAUUUGAUACUAAAACCAGGUAACAGCUGGGUUGGGGUGGAAGAGGAAUCCCUUUACGUGGUAGUUUCACCUAACAUAAAGAACAUCGCUUCAAAGUGGACCAGAAACUGCAAUAAAGAACUCUACCAGAAUGCAGGGCUGCAGCACCAUGACCAGAGAUGGCCAGACUUGUGCAAGUUCUCAGCUCCUUCCAGGAAGACAACCUGAUGUGGGGCAGGGGAAACAUGGGCACAGCAGCAGUCACCAAAACCAAAUACACACAAUACUAGGGCAGACUAAGGCAGCAACAGCCUCUCAUCCCUGAUAAUCAUCCAUGUGGGAAUGGGACAGGAUAGCUCUUCUUCAGAUGUCAGAACUGUGAAGCUGCAGAAACUUCAUGUUCUAGUCCAGGCUUCUCUGUAUAUGCCUGGCUCUUCCUUAGGAAAACGUUAGAAUUCCCAUCUGAUUCAUCACCCUUUCUUUUUGAAACAGCAUGUUAGAGACUGAAAACACAUGUCCAAUGUGUUCUGAAAGGAUUGACA